rnacentral:rRNA from 1 species
UACGUAGGGUGCAAGCGUUGUCCGGAAUUAUUGGGCGUAAAGAGCUCGUAGGCGGUUUGUCGCGCCUGCUGUGAAAACCCGAGGCUCAACCUCGGGCCUGCAGUGGGUACGGGCAGACUAGGGUGCGGUAGGGGAGAUUGGAAUUCCUGGUGUAGCGGUGGAAUGCGCAGAUAUCAGGAGGAACACCAAUGGCGAAGGCAGAUCUCUGGGCCGUAACUGACGCUGAGGAGCGAAAGCAUGGGGAGCGAACAGG